UUAACUUUAUAGGGCUCGGGUUCUGAAGCAAUGAUAAUUCAUUGGGAAUAAUAGGGAAUACGGUGCGUGCCAAAUGGUGCAAUUCCGGAACUGCCCCCGCAACUGUAAGUGCCAGUCCCAUCCAUUGCGUCACUGGAAAAUUUUCCGGGAAGACGGAUGUAAGACGUUAAAGCACAAGUCAGGAGACCUGCCCGGGCAUUCGUAAAGCG
rnacentral:ncRNA from 1 species